AGCUCCGAGGUGUUAUCAUGUCAGAUUGCAAAUCUGGAGAAGCAGGUUAGCCCCCUGCCGGGGCUU
rnacentral:tRNA from 1 species